UGUUCCCCCGCCGGGGUCUCGCUCUCUGCGCUGCCCGGCAGCUGCGACGGUGUCUCUUCAGCCCUGGAGUCCUGGACCGCACUCUUUCUCCUGCGUGCGUGUUAGCAGACAGUUAAUCUUCGUUUUGAAACCACACAGCUCAGACGGAACUUGAACCACAAUCUUCCAACUGAGACUGCACAGGACUUAAUGAAGCUCAGGUUCUUUAUGUCUCGCCACAGAAGUUCAGCAAGAGGCAAAGUAAUAGGUACACUGAUUUAACCCAGCUGAAGACUUGAGGGGAUCUUCUGGAGAUUUCAGGAGAUUUCUCUGUGAAUUUCUCUCUGCCCAGGAAUUGUGCCCUGCAGCUUCUAGGUGCCCUGACUCCCCAGAUAGUCAGAUCCAUUUCUUUAACUCUAGGUGAUGACCAGGUUUAGCAUGAGUUCCCCUGCCCUGCACUAGCACCUGGAAACUCUCUUUUAGACACUGAGCUGAGGCAGUCACAGUGUUUACCUUCUGGGUUUUGUCUUUCUCAGAGAUCACCAUCCUGUGGUGCCUGACUUCAAUGUCUGAAAAACCUUGUCCCAUGUAUUUGGCCUGCUUUAUAGUUGUUUCAGGAAGGAGGGUACAUCUGGUUCCUAUUACUCCAUCUUGACCUGAAGCAGAAGUCCAUUUAGUAAUUUGUUUUAGCUUUUCAGUUUUUGUUUUUAUUUUGUUUUUCGUGUAAGUCCUUUUCCACAAAAUCAUUAGUAAUAGUUCACGACACACAGUGCACUUUCUAUAAAUGUUUUGGAUUGAAUGAAAUAAAUCUUUAAUAAAGGGGGUAAAUUCUGUUUACCUACAUUUUGCUCCGAGGAAAACUUACCUGGAGAAUUUAGUGAAGGACACAGUUCUAGUCUCAGCUCUGUCCCUGACAACUUUUCAUGUAAAACGGUAACAGAUGUAGGCAUUCCUCUCUAAAAUUAAGAAUGGUUUUUAAUGUUGGAUUCAAACAAGAACAGUCUUAACUAGGAUUAUAUUGAAAUUCUAUCUAUAUUCCUUUGGAGUACCUUAACGAUUGUGUUUUCUGUAAAUUAUUCAUUAUCAAUAAAGGAGCCAAUUCCAAGUC